rnacentral:rRNA from 1 species
CUGAAACAUCUAAGUACCCGGAGGAAAGGAAAUCAAUAGAGACUCCGUUAGUAGUGGCGAGCGAACGCGGACCAGCCGAGCCUUGAAGUGCGAGCAGAAUGGUCUGGAAAGGCCAGCGAUAUGGGUGACAGCCCCGUAUGCGAAGUACCAUGGGACGUAUCAAGUAGGGCGGGACACGUGAAAUCCUGUCUGAAGAUCGGGGGACCACCCCCGAAGGCUAAGUACUCCUUGCUGACCGAUAGCGAACCAGUACCGUGAGGGAAAGGUGAAAAGCACCCCGACGAGGGGAGUGAAACAGUACCUGAAACCGAACGCCUACAAGCAGUCGGAGGGACCAUGAGUCCUGACGGCGUACCUUUUGUAUAAUGGGUCAACGACUUGUUCUUACGAGCAAGCUUAAGCCGAUAGGUGUAGGCGCAGCGAAAGCGAGUCUUAAAAGGGCGC